rnacentral:rRNA from 1 species
GUGGGAAUCUGCCCCUUGGUUCGGAAUAACCGUUGGAAACGACGGCUAAUACCGGAUGACGACGUAAGUCCAAAGAUUUAUCGCCGAGGGAUGAGCCCGCGUAGGAUUAGCUAGUUGGUGUGGUAAAGGCGCACCAAGGCGACGAUCCUUAGCUGGUCUGAGAGGAUGAUCAGCCACACUGGGACUGAGACACGGCCCAGACUCCUACGGGAGGCAGCAGUGGGGAAUAUUGGACAAUGGGCGAAAGCCUGAUCCAGCAAUGCCGCGUGAGUGAUGAAGGCCUUAGGGUUGUAAAGCUCUUUUACCCGGGAUGAUAAUGACAGUACCGGGAGAAUAAGCUCCGGCUAACUCCGUGCCAGCAGCCGCGGUAAUACGGAGGGAGCUAGCGUUGUUC